ACAAUCAUAUUCACUUAUAGGGGCCGUUUGGUUAGAUAUAAUUAUAAAUACAGCGUAGUUGGAAAUACAUGCAGUUAAAAAUACAAUAAUUGUAACUAUAUAUAUGCAUUAUAUUUUGUUGGAUGUAAUAGAAAGCACUGUAACUAUAAAUAAUUUGUUUCGUUGUAUACAGUUGAGAAAUGAUUUUUAAAAUUUUAUUAUUUUAUAUAUAUAUAAAGGUGAGAUUACUUCUAAUAUAAAAAAAGAAAAAUAUUUUUUAUUUAAAAAAUAUUUAGGGAGGUAAGCGUAAGUUACUCUCUUCAACUGCUACAGUCGAGCCUUCUCUUGUAGUUCCUACUGUAACAGUUAGAGUUAAAUACAUAAAAUCAAACACCGAAUUUAUAUUUACAUGCAGUCACAACUGCAGUGCAGUUGCAACUAUAUGCAACCAAAUAACCUCUUACGUUCAAUGGAAAUGUACUU
rnacentral:lncRNA from 1 species